CGUGGGUAACCUGCCCUUAAGUGGGGAUAACAUUUGGAAACAGAUGCUAAUACCGCAUAGAUCCAAGAACCGCAUGGUUCUUGGCUGAAAGAUGGCGUAAGCUAUCGCUUUUGGAUGGACCCGCGGCGUAUUAGCUAGUUGGUGAGGUAAUGGCUCACCAAGGCGAUGAUACGUAGCCGAACUGAGAGGUUGAUCGGCCACAUUGGGACUGAGACACGGCCCAGACUCCUACGGGAGGCAGCAUG
rnacentral:rRNA from 1 species